AGGUACAAGAAGAAACCCUAGCACCGAUUCCUCAUUCCCACCCUAUUUCAAUUUUCAUCAAACCCUAAUUUCCCAUCUCUCAACCUCGUCUUUGUCUUCAGUUCUUCUACAUUCAACCUAGAACCGACACCGUCCUUGGGUUGAUUCAUCUUUAACAUCAUACCAAUUUGUUUUUGAGAUUUAUAUGCCCUAAUGCUUCAUAUUAUCUUCUUUUUUCGAUCCAGUUUUUUGGUGUGAAGACGGUUGCAACCAUGACUGAACUUGUCUGAAAGAAAUUGAUGGUGAAUGUUAGCUGUUUGAUUAAAUGUCUGAAAGAAUUUGAUUGUGAAUAGAGUCCUUAUCAAGGAGAAGAAUGUGUGUGGAAAGUAAGAGUUGAGCUACCAGAUACUUAUUCUUAUAAAUCUCCUUUCAUGGGCUUCAUCAAUAAGAUUUAUCAUCCAAAUGUUGAUAAUAUAUACGAAUCUCAAUGCACUUAAACUGUGUAAUUUGAAUACUUUAUCUCACAUUUUAAU